CACCCAUGCCCGCCGAUUCCGGCGAGUCCCGGCGGCGGGUGGCACAUCAACGACCUCCCCUGGCCCCGCUCCUUCCUCCCAUCCUUUCAGAUCAGUCGCUGGAGGCCUCCCGCGCUCUCUCCCGAUCCUCAGCCGUGGCUAGGGUUUCGGGUGCGGCGUCCCCUUCGUCGCCGGCGAGGCUCUGGCGCCUCGAGGCCUCCGGCGGCUCGUCUCCGUCGUGUUCCCAGCCCACCGCGUAAUGGACGGUCCUCCCGUGCCCGAUGGCCAUGAGGUGCACGCGAUUUGGUGUAGCAGCCGCCUGUCAACAUCGACGAGGAGGGCGUUCGGGACCCAAGCGCAAGCCGACGAGCCUGGAUGCUACCAACAAGCAGCCGACCAUGCCGAUGCGAUACAUCCGGUGCUGCCUGGCAGCCAGCCCCACAUCUCCACCCAGGUAUAGCUCGCCACUCCCUUAUCCUCACUGGUAAGGAUCGAUGGCGAGGAUAAAUAGUUGGGAUGUAGGUAAUGUUCAGAUUUGUGAGUAUUGAUGCUUGUGCUUUCUUGUUCAUGUUCUCGUGAGGGAGAAGGGAAAAUGCUGCAGCUAAUGGAUGUUUAGUGAGGCUAUGUUCUGAUUUGACAAAGCUGAAGGAAGCACAUGCCACAAAUUUCUCGCAGUCAUUAUUCUAUCUCUGCGAUUGCUUCUUUGGAUGAGGAACAGGCGGAUACUUUGUGCAGAAAGGGAACUGCCUUCUUGGUUUAAUCAAUUGAGAUUAGCUUCUUCUAAUGUUAACUACUUAAUGGAGCUUUUGUUGCUGAGUGUUAUUUACGGGACAAGUACGUGUCAUGAACUAACUUCAGAUUUUUGGUUUAUAAGUGUCGAGCAUAACUAUCCAUGGUGGUAUAUAUACAAUUGACAGACUUGUAUUAGGCUUCAGAAUUGAAUGCAAUGAAACUGAUUAAGGCUGCAGGCAGGAUAUGGAACACCAUGACUUCAAUUUACAGGAUCUGAAAUAGCUUGGUCAGCUUUCUUCCCACAUCAUAUCAGAUUCUGUAUGGAGUCAUCUUGGCACAGUUAUGUUCAUCAUAGUAGUAAACGGCAAAAGAGAAAUGCUCAUGUCUCGGUCCAUCUAAAUUUCAGAGAACUCACUGUUCGACCUCGCUGGCACCGCCUUAGAUGGGCUUGCUGCUAUUUUAGUCUGGUCAUAUGCAGAUUUGUUAUCUUCAAGCAAAGCUAAAUAGUGAAGAGGAUGAGCAUCCAGAGUAUAUCAUCCGCGGAACACCUGGCAGGAUCCAGCACUGUGGAGAGCUUGAUGAUCACUGUUACUGGGGUAAUGAGGUUAAGUUAUAUCAAUGGCACGUAGGCGCUCUCUUUGCUAUGUUCUUGCGCAAAAAGCCAGGCAUCAACUACUAUGUGUGCACAAUCAAUAAAACAUUUGCCAAGCUAGGCCAGCGCAUGAACCUGCUGGACUACAUUGAUCCACAUAAUGAUACACUCAUGGUCAAGCUCGCAAAUGGGUGUCUGCUUGCCAGAUGUCGCAUCAUGCUAGAAACUGACAAGAGGACAACCAUAACCACCGUCUGGUCCGAGUUUCGUCGCCGCGCCAACAUUCGCGAAGGAGACGUUUGCGUUGCUAUUUGAUCCUUUUGAGGGUAUGAUGUCUACUACGCAACCUUCUUUUUGUAGAUGUUGUUGGGCCUCCAAGUGCAGAGGUUUGUAGGACAGUAGCAAAUUUUCCUCAAGUGGAUGACCUAAGGUUUAUAAAUCCGUGGGAGGCGUAGGAUGAAGAUGGUCUCUCAAGCAACCCUGCAACCAAA